rnacentral:rRNA from 1 species
AUUGAACGCUGGCGGCGUGCCUAACACAUGCAAGUCGAGCGGUAACAGGUGUAGCAAUACAUGCUGACGAGCGGCGGACGGGUGAGUAAUGUUUGGGAAUCUGCCUAUUAGUGGGGGACAACCCGGGGAAACUCGGGCUAAUACCGCAUACGCUCUACGGAGGAAAGCCGGGGACCGCAAGGCCUGGCGCUAGUAGAUGAGCCCAAAUUGGAUUAGCUAGUUGGUGAGGUAACGGCUCACCAAGGCGACGAUCCAUAACUGGUUUGAGAGAACGACCAGUCACACCGGAACUGAGACACGGUCCGGACUCCUACGGGAGGCAGCAGUGGGGAAUAUUGGACAAUGGGCGAAAGCCUGAUCCAGCGACGCCGCGUGGGUGAAGAAGGCCUGCGGGUUGUAAAGCCCUUUCGGUGGGGAUAAAAAGCCUUGGUUUAACACACCAGGGUCUUGAUCUAACCCAAGAAAGAAGCACCGGCUAACUCUGUGCCAGCAGCCGCCGUAA